rnacentral:rRNA from 1 species
UACAGAGGGUGCGAGCGUUAAUCGGAAUUACUGGGCGUAAAGCGUGCGUAGACGGUUAUUUAAGUCGGGUGUGAAAGCCCCGGGCUCAACCUGGGAAUUGCAUUCGAGACUGAAUAGCUAGGGUACGGUAGAGGGAAGUGGAAUUUCCGGUGUAGCGGUGAAAUGCGUAGAUAUCGGAAGGAACACCAGUGGCGAAAGCGGCUUCCUGGUCCGACACCGACGUUCAGGCACGAAAGCGUGGGGAGCAAACAGG